UUGGGUAACUCCAUCUGAAUUAAGGAGGCCGUUGUACCUCCCCUCCCCUGGCUACAGGACUAAUUGAAACCAUAGUAAAUUUUACAUAUUUCGGUUUAUAUGAUUUUAUAAUGGCAUACAGGUUUGGUCUGAGCAUGUUAGCAGGAAAAAAAUACUAAUAGCUUUUAGCCAAUUUAUAAUUUUAAUUUAUUUCAUCCUCUUGAGUAUUAUAAUGCGGUACAUUGUCCAUCACGAUAACACUAUCGGAAAGUACAUUACUUAACAAUUUUUCAUCUAAGUAACCACUUUUGUAGUCGACAAAAUUCAGAUUAUCAUGGUAAUCACCCGAUUUUGUUUUGGACUUCCAUAUCAAAAGAUCUACAAAAAAAAAAUUUCAAAAAAUUUUCUGACUGUAUUCUUUCCAUCUCUCCAAUGUGUCUCUGGCAGUAUAAUUAUUUCGUUAUUAUUAUUGCUUAAUAUUGUUUCUUGUCACUUUCUUAUGGACAUUAAAUAUUUGGUAUCUUUCCUGAAAUUAUUCAAUUUCCCGGUAUUUUGUUGACAUCUACAGUCGGAAAAAUGAAAGAAUACCAAUGAACGAAUAUAUAAAACACGCUGUAUUUUCCUGUCACCGUAUCAGAAAGAAAAUUGUCCAGUGCAAGUACAUGUAACAAUAAUUAUUACAUGUACGUGCGCUGGCCAAUUUUUUGUGUGACCCGGUGACCGGAAAAUACAGCGUGUUUUAUAUGUUCGUUCAUGGGUAUUCUUUUUUGAGAUGACUAUUUUUCUUUUCUUUUUUAACUUUCAGUAAUCAUUUUAGUCUAAAAUCCAUUAAAAUUAAUUGAAUUUUAUUAGGUUUUAGUAGAUUUUAUGUACUUGUUUAAGAUGUGGCCGAGCAAAAUAAAGUCAAUUUGAUUCCUAACAAUUAUAUCUUCUCUGAUGUUGUUUAAAGAAGGUGUUGACUAGUAAAAGGUUUCCUACGCAGAAUUGUACAAGUUUUCAAAGGAGAAAAAUAUGUUCCGAGUACAUGAUGAAGAGAAAGGGUGAUAGAAUAUAUCCCUGUAGUACUUCUCGUUGAAUUUGUAGCGAUCACGCUACUAAUUAAAUUAAUUUAAUUAAAAUUGGAUUAAAAUAUACCCCUCUACAAAAUCCUUGGGUGACGCCCGCGAAGAUCCAACUACGAUUUUUCGGUGCACAGGCGCGCCAAUAGAAAGAAAAUCGAUGAUUGUCGAUUUCUAGUUUAGUUGGUCACGAACUCACAAAGAGGCAACACAUCGUCAUUACUUAGGUGACGGAGUUUGGGCAAAAUUGGGAAAAUAUAUAACUAAAAGACCUCGAACAUCAGCCAAUAACCCAUACUAAUAAAAAUCAAGCAGUAGUUAUAUCUGGAGACUUAUUUACAAGAAAGGAAAAAGGUUAUAAUACCGCCGAUGUGUUGCUUUGCUCAAAUUCCGUCCCGUAGCUACUUGUCACAUAGACACUUAGCCUAGUCAAUUUAUAUAGAUUGUAUCAUCAUUUAAUGUGCCAUCAUAUAAAUAUGUGCCAGUUACUGUAAGCAGCUAGGGUAUGGGUUACCCCUAGAGUUACUUUUGAUUGGAUUGGAUAGUACCUAUUUCACAACAUCCAGGAUUGGAUUUAUCACCACAGCAGCCCACUAGUUUUUGCCGUGCCAAGAGGAAAUUCAUUCCUAUCUGGACCUUUUUAAAUAGGACUUGUGGUUAAGAUAAGUUGUUUAAUCUUAUUAUUUACAUAUUUUGGGUACUCUAUAGUUGCUUGCACUGUAAACUUCUUGUAUGCAUACAAUUGAGGUAAACUAGGUACAUAUUUCUUGAUAGAUAGGGUUUUAGGUCGUUGGUUUUUUUUUUUAAUUUAAUAGAAGUAGUAGUUUCCAAUAAAUAAAAUUAGGUCUUGUUCAAUAAUCAUUAUAAAUAAAAAUUGUAGCUUAAAAAUUUGAUCGGGAAGGGGUCGUUAAAGGUUUGUCGCGGAUUUCAAAUAGGGAAUAUGUCUUGUAGGUUUUUACAUUGUAUAUAAAGAGUAACUGACCAACUCAUUUAUACAACUCAUUUAUAUCACUCAUUUAUAUAACUCAUUAUAUAUUUACUUAUUAGUGUUUUUGCUAGGUGAGAUCUUUAUUAUUUUUGGUAACCGUAGCGUUCUUGUUGUGGAUCUCACUCUAGCGUAGUUCAAUUUAGGAAAUAAUUACUAACUUUUUAGUUGUAAGGACUUAGUGCUAUUCUGACGGACUUUUGAUUUGGAUUUUGAUUUUAAUACUUUUGCUUGGCCAGUGAUAGUGGAUAAUUGCUUGUUGAGUGGCCUUUGCGGUCCUAUUUUAUCUUUUCCCCAUCCACUAUCACUGUUAUUACGUUGCGUUAUAUGUAAAGUGUUAACAUUUAAUAUUUAUUAUUAAUAUAUUUGUAUGUAUUAA